CCACAUGACAUCACAACAACCAAAAAGGAAAGCACUCACACAAACAGACAGUCACCAGGUACACAUCUCCUUUUGUGUAAUUCUACACGUUCAAUUUAUGGAAUGUUUUCCAUACCCGUUACACAGGCAGUUAUUGCAGCUGUGUAGGCUAAAAAAGACAUUCGGUACAAGAACCAGAAAAUAAGGUUUUAUGCUGACUUGGCCACGAGAGUACACCAACUGAGGAAACGAUCCGAUCCAAUCCGCCAGGAGCUGCGCACUUUGGAGAUCCGACAUGGAGUGAGUCACCCUGCCAGACUGCUGGUAACACAUAAAGAACAAACCUAAACUUUUUAAACACCAACCGAAGCCUGAGAGUUUGUCAAGAAAAUCCAGGAGGAUACUGGCGGGAGUUUAAAAUAAACGGGGGCUGAGUGAGGGGACACACUUCUCUCAGUCUCUCUGGGCGAGUGGAGGUGAACACAUCGUGUACAGCGAGGAGGGAGAUGGAAAUCUGUCUGACUUUUAUUCUUCUCUCAUCCACACUCACACUCACAGCAGCUGACAGUGUGAGGUUGGUGAAUGGUGGAAGUCGCUGUGCUGGGAGAGUGGAGGUUCUUCAGGAAGGACAGUGGGGAACAGUGUGUGAUGAUGACUGGGAUAUGGACGAUGCUGCAGUGGUGUGUAGAGAGCUGCGCUGUGGGGAGGCUGUAAAUGCACUGGGUGACGAUAAUGCUCACUUUGGACCAGGAUCAGGACCAAUCUGGAUGGAUAAUGUACGCUGUAGUGGAUCAGAGUCGACACUGAAGAACUGUAGAUCACGUGGGAGGGGGGAUCAGUCCUGUAAUCAUGGUGAAGAUGCUGGAGUCACCUGCUCAGGUCACAGAAUGUCGAGACUCACUGCGGGUCCUCACCGGUGCUCUGGGAGAGUGGAGGUGUUUCAUGGAGGUUCCUGGUCCACAGUGUGUGAUGCUGACUUUGACCAGCAGGAUGCAGAGGUUGUGUGUCGAGAGCUGGGCUGUGGGAUUCCUGUGAAGGUGCUGGGAUCAGCUGCUUUUGGCCGAGGGGAGGGUCAGGUGUGGACAGAGGCGCUUCAGUGUAGAGGAAAUGAAUCUGAGAUUACCUUCUGUCCAACAUCAUCUUCACUCAAACACUCAAACUGCUCCCAUUACAACGAUGUGGGAUUAAUAUGUUCUGGUCACACAGGGGCGCGGCUGGUGAACGGACCGGACUCCUGUUCUGGUCGAGUGGAGCUCCAGUACCUCAGUGACUGGGGCACAGUUUGUGCUGUAGGCUGGGAUAUGAGAGCUGCAGAUGUUCUCUGUGCACAGCUGGAUUGUGGGAGUGCUGUGGCUGUGGUGGAGGUGGACUGGUUUGGGGAGGGGAGUGGCCACAUCUGGGCUGAUGAGUUUGAUUGUCAGGGGAAGGAGACACACCUAUCACAAUGUAACAUCUCAUCAUGGAGUCGAGCUGCAUGCUCUCAUAAACACGAUGCUGGAGUCAUCUGUAAUGGAUCAUCCGUGGCGUUUCAUGAGGGGCGAGUGCGGUUGUCUGGAGGGAGCGAGUGUCAGGGGGAGGUGGAGAUUUAUUUCAGGCAGGACUGGAGGAGAGUUCUCCUGGACUCGUGGAGUCUGUCUGAGGCGUCUGUGCUCUGCAGACAGCUGGGCUGUGGCUCCGUGCUGAACUACCGCUCCUCUCCAUCCACCACUGAACACAAACACAUGUGUGUAACGGGUUUCAGCUGCUCUGGGAGUGAAGCUCAUCUGGGGAACUGCAGCAGUGCACAACCUGUCAACUGCAGCUCCGGGGAACAGCUGUACAUCACCUGCUCAGGUAUCUUUAACCCCGCCCUCAGGUCCAUCAGGCUGGUUGGUUCUGGGGGAGACUGUGCAGGAAGGCUGGAGGUUUUCCACAGCGGCUCGUGGGGGACAGUGUGUGAUGACUCGUGGGAUAUUGAGGAUGCGCAGGUGGUGUGCAGACAGCUGCAGUGUGGAGUGGCCCUCAGUACACACAUACCAGCCUGGUUUGGUCCUGGAACUGGGUCCAUAUGGCUGAAUGAGGUGGAGUGUGAGGGGAACGAGACGUCCCUGUGGAACUGCAGAUUUCAGCUGUGUGAAGAGGGUGAAUGUGGACACCAGGAGGACGUAGGAGUCGUGUGCUCAGAGUUUAAAGAGGUCCGACUCACGGAGGGCUGUGUGGGGAAUCUGGAAGUGUUCUACAAUGGAACCUGGGGUAAUGUGUGUCACAAUCAGAUGGACGAGGAGACAGUAAACAUGGUGUGUCGAGAGCUGAACUGUGGAAGACGUGGCAGUCUGUCAAACACUGAAGCACGAGUAAAAUCUGCUCCUGACUGGCUGGAUUAUCUGAAGUGUAGGAAACACGACUCUAAUCUGUGGCAGUGUCCAUCUUCACCCUGGGGACAGAACAGAUGUGAUAAUGGUGAUGAGGUGGCUCGUAUUACCUGCACGGAUGAUGGAAAGUCUCUACGUACACAAGAAAAGUGCUCUUCAUUUCCCUCUCAGAAACACUGCUCAAAGCACUGGUCUCUCAGGCUGAGUGGAGGAGAGGGAAGCUGCUCUGGGAGGUUGGAGGUGUAUCAUAACGCUACGUGGGGCUCCGUUUGUGAUGAUCAGUGGAACAUCAGGAACGCUCAGGUGGUGUGCAGACAGCUGGGCUGUGGGUCGGCGCUGAGUGCUGAUAGGAAUGUUAGUUCUGGUCCUGGUGAAGGGACUAUCUGGCUGAACAGAGUGAAGUGUCGAGGGGAUGAGAUUCACCUGUGGGACUGUCAUCAUUCCCUGAAGAAACACACUGACUGCUCUCCUGCUGGAGUCACCUGUGCAGAUGUGUCCACUACUACACCCAUCAUCACCACCACCACCUCCACCACCACAUCAGAUAUACCUGUGUCCACCAGCACCAAAAUACAAAAAUGUCCUCGUCCUUUCCAAAGACAUGUUGUAGGCUGACUGGCAUCUCUAAAUUGUCCUUAAUGUGUGAAUAGUGUGUUGCAUUGGCUCCCAGUAAAAUUUCACAUUGAUUAUAAAAUACUACUAUUCACAUAUAAAGCACUAAACAGUCUCGUGCCACAGUACCUGAGUGAAGCCCCACAGUUAUGGAACAACCUUCCAGAAUACGAUGACGUAGACGAGAAACUUUAGGAAGACAGGGACCAUGUGACUGAGACACACCACCAAAGGCCUUUUCUCAGGAAAUUACAUUUAAACUUCUAUGGACUCAACAAAUGAUGUCAUUAUACUUACAAAAAAAUUCAUGCAUUCUGACCCACGUUAUCUUUUUCUUCUUCUUGCUUAUCUUAUUAUUAACAAAUGGAUAUGAGAGAGCUAAAUCACUUCCAUUAUUACUUAACCAGAUGUGCUCUCCUUUCACAACACUUUCAGUGCUAUAAAUUAUAGUGAGCUUAAAUAUCACUCACACAGCUCACCUGAAAUGAUCUCAUCAAUUAUUCUAUAUAAUCAAACACCAAAAUGUCUAUAAUCUUACCUUUAAUCUUUGGAAACAGUUGAUAUUAUCAUUCUUGCUUAACCGGAACUUAUUCAUUGUGAUUUUUUUGCACGUGUGUCCUGCUAUCACAUUUAGCUAA